rnacentral:rRNA from 1 species
AGAGUUUGAUCCUGGCUCAGGACGAACGCUGGCGGUGUGCUUCACACAUGCAAGUCGAGCGAAUGAAGUAGGUAGCUUGCUACUUAUGGAUUUAGCGGCGGACGGGUGAGUAAUAUAUAGGAAUCUGCCUUAGAGCGGGGAACAACAGACCGAAAGGUUUGCUAAUGCCCCAUAGGUAUGCAGUCUUCGGAUUGUAUAUUAAAGGAGUAAUCCACUCUAAGAUGAGCCUGUAUCCGAUUAGCUAGUUGGCGGGGUAAAGGCCCACCAAGGCUACGAUCGGUAGUUGGUCUGAGAGGAUGAUCAGCCACAAUGGGACUGAGACACGGCCCAUACUCCUACGGGAGGCAGCAGUGGGGAAUUUUACACAAUGGGGAAACCCUGAUGUAGCGACACCGCGUGAACGAAGAAGCCUUUUGGGGUGUAAAGUUCUGUCGGCUGGAACGAAAAAAAUGACGGUACCAGCAAAGGAAGCAUCGGCUAACUACGUGCCAGCAGCCGCGGUAAGACGUAGGAUGCAAGCGUUGUCCGGAUUUAUUGGGCGUAAAGAGUUCGUAGGCGGUUAUUUAAGUCUGAUGUUAAAUACUGUGGCCCAACCACAGAACUGCAUUGGAUACUGGAUGACUUGAGUGCGGUAGAGGCAAGUGGAAUUCCCAGUGUAGCGGUGAAAUGCGUAGA